rnacentral:rRNA from 1 species
UACGUAGGUGGCAAGCGUUGUCCGGAUUUACUGGGCGUAAAGCGCGCGUAGGCGGCUCACCAAGUCUGGGGUGAAAUCUCCCGGCUCAACUGGGAGAGGUCUCCAGAUACUGGUGGGCUUGAGGGGAGCAGAGGAGAGCGGAAUUCCCGGUGUAGCGGUGAUAUGCGUAGAUAUCGGGAGGAACACCAGUGGCGAAGGCGGCUCUCUGGGCUCUGCCUGACGCUGAGGCGCGAAAGCGUGGGGAGCAAACCGG